rnacentral:rRNA from 1 species
CUUAGUGGCGCACGGGUGCGUAACGCGUGGGAAUCUGCCCUUGGGUACGGAAUAACUCAGAGAAAUUUGUGCUAAUACCGUAUAAUGUCUUCGGACCAAAGAUUUAUCGCCCAAGGAUGAGCCCGCGUAGGAUUAGCUAGUUGGUGAGGUAAAAGCUCACCAAGGCGACGAUCCUUAGCUGGUCUGAGAGGAUGAUCAGCCACGCUGGGACUGAGACACGGCCCAGACUCCUACGGGAGGCAGCAGUGGGGAAUAUUGGACAAUGGGCGAAAGCCUGAUCCAGCAAUGCCGCGUGAGUGAUGAAGGCCUUAGGGUUGUAAAGCUCUUUCAGCUGGGAAGAUAAUGACGGUACCAGCAGAAGAAGCCCCGGCUAACUCCGUGCCAGCAGCCGCGGUAAUACGGAGGGGGCUAGCGUUGUUCGGAAUUACUGGGCGUAAAGCGCACGUAGGCGG